AUGUACAUAAGGUGCAGUUGCAGUCUGGCAACCAGGACCACCCAACACAGGAACAGUUUCUUUCUCCUCGCCAUCUCCCUUCUAAACAGUUGAACUGUCACACUGCUCCCACUGCCAGACUGCAACUGCACCUUAUGUACAUUCUGUAGUAUUCAUUCCACCUCAUUUCAUUUCUGUAUUUUAUGUAUAUACGUUUAGAUUAGUUAUUUAUAGUUGGUUUACACAGCUUUGUGUAUGUAUGUGUAUGCAUGUGUAAUGUAUAUAUAGAUACGUGUGUGUGUGGGUGCGUGUGUGUGUGUGUGUGUGUGUGUGUGUGUGUGUGUGUGUGUGUGUGUGUGUGUGUGUGUGUGUGUGUGUGUGUGUGAGAUUUACAUUGCUGUGCUCGAGAGCCACCAUCUACCGGAACCAAAUUCCUUGUAUUUG
ensembl:lncRNA